rnacentral:rRNA from 1 species
CUCCUACGGGAGGCAGCAGCAGGGAAUAUUGCACAAUGGGCGAAAGCCUGAUGCAGCAACGCCGCGUGAGGGAUGAAGGCCUUCGGGUUGUAAACCUCUUUCAGGAGGGAAGAAAUUGACGGUACCUCCAAAAGAAGCCCCGGCUAACUACGUGCCAGCAGCCGCGGUAAUACGUAGGGGGCGAGCGUUGUCCGGAUUUAUUGGGCGUAAAGGGCUCGUAGGCGGUUCAGUAAGUCGGCUGUGAAAGUCCGGGGCUCAACCCCGGAAAUGCAGUCGAUACUGCUGUGACUAGAAUCAGGUAGAGGAGAAUGGAAUUCCCGGUGUAGCGGUGGAAUGCGCAGAUAUCGGGAGGAACACCAGUAGCGAAGGCGGUUCUCUGGGCCUGUAUUGACGCUGAGGAGCGAAAGCGUGGGGAGCAAACAGGAUUAGAUACCCUGGUAGUCCACGCCGUAAACGUUGGGUACUAGGUGUGGCGAUCCGUCUAACGAUUGCCGUGCCGAAGCUAACGCAUUAAGUACCCCGCCUGGGGAGUACGGCCGCAAGGCUAAAACUCAAAGGAAUUGACGG